UACGUAGGGUGCGAGCGUUAAUCGGAAUUACUGGGCGUAAAGCGUGCGCAGGCGGUUUUGUAAGCCAGAUGUGAAAUCCCCGGGCUCAACCUGGGAAUGGCGAUGAAGACUGCAAGGCUAGAAUCUGGCAGAGGGGGGUAGAAUUCCACGUGUAGCAGUGAAAUGCGUAGAGAUGUGGAGGAACACCGAUGGCGAAGGCAGCCCCCUGGGUCAAGAUUGACGCUCAUGCACGAAAGCGUGGGGAGCAAACAGG
rnacentral:rRNA from 1 species